CCUACGGGAGGCAGCAGUGGGGGAUAUUGCACAAUGGGGGCAACCCUGAUGCAGCGACGCCGCGUGGGUGAAGAAGCGCCUCGGCGCGUAAAGCCCUAUCAGCAGGGAAGAAAAUGACGGUACCUGACGAAGAAGCCCCGGCUAACUCCGUGCCAGCAGCCGCGGUAAUACGUAGGGGGCAAGCGUUAUCCGGAUUUACUGGGUGUAAAGGGGGCGCAGACGGCGAUGCAAGCCAGGAGUGAAAGCCCGGGGCCCAACCCCGGGACUGCUCUUGGAACUGCGUGGCUGGAGUGCAGGAGGGGCAGGCGGAAUUCCUGGUGUAGCGGGGAAAUGCGUAGAUAUCAGGAGGAACACCGGUGGCGAAGGCGGCCUGCUGGACUGCAACUGACGUUGAGGCCCGAAAGCGUGGGGAGCAAACAGGAUUAGAUACCCGAGUAGUC
rnacentral:rRNA from 1 species